AGUCAAGAGUCUUUGGCACCGUUUUGGUGAGCGUUUUUCUUUUGCCUUUUGAGAGGCGAGGAC
rnacentral:sRNA from 1 species